AGCUCAGCCUCUUUAGUCUUCUUCCACCACUCACCCCUCCCUCACCUUGCUUCUGGGUCUUGGCCUUCUGAGCCCCCCCCCUUCAUCCCAAGCCUCUUCUCUUGCGCUCCUACUUGGUUUCCAGGCUCCAGUCUUUGCUCUUCUGCCCUGUUUCCUCUUCUUCAGUUGCUCUUGCCCUUGUUAGUGUCCCUUUCCUCCCAUUCUCAGUUCUCCCCCAGCCUCAUUUCUCAGCCGAACUUCCAGACCCCUUUCCUUGUCGAGGUCAUUUUCUCUAUUUUUUUUUUUUUACCAUUUAGUUCUCUUCUCGUUCUGGCUGUUUUCUUUCAUUCACCGUCACCCCUCCCCCCAUGCUUUCCCACCUGGGCCCUUUCACGUCCAGCUACAUCUUCUUCCCUCCCCUACGUCCCCCUCAAACCCCAUCUCCCCUACCUAGGAAGGCGCUGGCCCUUUCCCACCUAUUGCUUCUGAUCUCUCACUGAGCAGUCUUUCCUUUCACCCCAAAGUGUCCCCUUCUCAGAUCUUCCCCCACACACUGCAGGCAUUCCCCUCGCCGCCGUCCUUCUCUUUUUAGUUUUUCUUUAUGUUGAUCUUUUACUUCUUUUACCCGUUGCUGCUUUUUACUUUGCUAGCAGAGAUCCCCUCCUCAUCCCCGUUUUCUUUUUUCCAUCUUUUCCUUCGCGCUUUCGGCCUCGCCCCUUUCUCCAGGUCUUCAUUCACCCCUCUUUCCUGUAUUUGCUUCUUCCUUCCCAUUUCCACUUUCUUAAGCCCCAUCCCUAACAAUUCAAUCAAGACUGCCUGACAUCCCUCCUCCCUUUCUCAGGCACUUUUCAAAUCUCCAACCACCUUCCGCCCCCUCCUCCUUCACUCCUGUCCCCCUCUUUCUCUCCUUCCUUUUCCUGAACCCCCGCUCUUUCACUCCUCUCCCUACUUUCCGCUUCGUCUCCCCUCCCCCACUCCCUGCUUUACACCAGCCGGAGAUGAGCUCAUUGGAGUCAGGCCAAGCAGAGAAAAAGCCGGAAGACUCAGGGAGGGCUAGUUUGGGGUUUGGGGAAGUGCUAGGAAAGGCUGGGUCGGAAUUUUGGUUGCUUGUUCUAAAAGGGGGAUCCUGCCAGACGCCCUGUCUUAUAUGUUGGGGACUUCUCUUUGCAACGGCCAGGGAAGAAGAUCAGAAAGGUGAAGGACACCAUUGGAGUUACGGAACUCAGAAAAUUGUCUUUGGGAACAAUUCCACAGGCAUAAUUGCUCAACAGACUUCAGAUAUCAAGUUAUUGACCCAUCCCCAGACUUAGACAUGGAGUCUCUGCUUUUUUCAAGAACCAUUAUUCAUCAGUACUACCACUUUGACCAUGAUGCUCCCAAGCCAAACCUGGCCUGAAAAGGCAUGGUCCAACUUUAUCUGACUAGAACUUGCCAUAUUUUGCUGCUUUACAAGGAUGCUGCUUUACUUUCUGAUCACAUGAUCAGAAAGACUCCUGUCAUUGGGAAUUGAAUGGAGCCUAAUGAAUGGAAGUCACAAUGUGAUCUCUAAGUUUUGUUCUGAAUUAGACAUAUUCACUCUGUCUAAGGAGAAACCUGGCAGCAGUUCAAAGUGGGCAAAAAUGGAAAGGGAUGCUUUUGGGAGGAGUGAAUUUCCUCUUAAUGGAUGUCUCAAAGGUCAAGAUGGAUAAUUCUUUGUGGCAGUUACUAUAAGGGAUGCUUUGGAAAAGUCUGACUAGAUGAUCUCUGAAGGUCCAUAUUCCUUGGAAGGAUUUUAUCAUUUCAAUGUAAAGGCAUUCAAGUUUUUAUAAUCAUUGCUGGCCUGGUAUUGUGCUUUAAGACUUGUAAGGUAUUUUACAUGAUGUCUUAUUUAAUUCUCACAACCCCCUGGGAGGUAUGUGCUAUUACUAUUUCAGUUUUUUAGGUUGGGCUUUUCCAACCCCCAAAGUGAGAGGGUCCUAUUGCUAGUAAGUAUCUGAAAGAGGAUUUGAACUCAGGUCUUUUGAAAUCAAAUAACAAUCAUUUAUCCAUGAUAUCACUGAGCUGCCAGUUGAAUUGUAUUGCAUUAGUUGAAAAAAAAUGGUCUGUGGAAAGUGUUUCUUUUAGAAGCAUGCUUCUUAUGGUAACACUCUGGAUCAAUUCACUAGAGAAUUGAAUGUACAAGAAGACAUUAGAUUAAAAAAAUAGGAAAAUUAAAAAAGGAAAACAAGGA